CCUGUCCUGAGCCGCCAGAGUCUCCCGCCUGUCCUGAGCCGCCAGAGUCUCCCGCCUGUCCUGAGCCGCCAGAGUCUCCCGCCUGUCCUGAGCCGCCAGAGUCGGAGGAGGAGUAAGGAUCGGACCAAAGCGCAGCGUGAAACAUGUAUGGAGUCAGCAGAUGGAGACUUGCAAGAUGAUGUGAAGUCCAGUCUGACAGACGGGCUUGAUACUGAUGUCUUUACAUGGAGAGAGACCUGUCACUUUGCAUAAAAUAAUGUACUAAA